rnacentral:SRP_RNA from 1 species
ACUGGUUGCAGUGGCACAUACCUGUAGUCCCAGCUACUCGGGAGGCUGAGGCUGGAGGAUCGCUUGAGUCCCGGAGUUCUGGGCUGUAGUGCACUAUGCCGAUCGGGUGUCCGCACUAACUUCGGCAUCAAUAUGGUGACCUCCCGGGAGUGGGGGAUCACCAGGUUGCCUAAGGAAGGGUGAACUGGCCCAGGUCGGAAACGGAGCAGGUCAAAACUCCCGUGCUGAUCAGUAGUGGGAUCAUGCCUGUGAAUAGCCACUGCACUCCAGCCUGGGCAACACAGUGAGACCCUGUCUCU